GUGUUGUAUGAAAGGAGACAAGGUUAGCACUCCGACAGCGAAGGAAGACCACCUUAGGCCUGACAACGCACAUACCCUUAAGGCAUUGCCACCUACUCUGUGGCAUCUAACCAUCAUUUUUU